rnacentral:rRNA from 1 species
GACGAACGCUGGCGGCGUGCUUAACACAUGCAAGUCGAACGGAAAGGCCCUGCUUUUGUGGGGUGCUCGAGUGGCGAACGGGUGAGUAACACGUGAGUAACCUGCCCUUGACUUUGGGAUAACUUCAGGAAACUGGGGCUAAUACCGGAUAGGAGCUCCUGCUGCAUGGUGGGGGUUGGAAAGUUUCGGCGGUUGUGGAUGGACUCGAGGCUUAUCAGCUUGUUGGUGGGGUAGUGGCUUACCAAGGCUUUGACGGGUAGCCGGCCUGAGAGGGUGACCGGCCACAUUGGUACUGAGAUACGGCCCAGACUCCUACGGGAGGCAGCAGUGGGGAAUAUUGCACAACGGGCGGAAGCCUGAUGCAGCAACGCCGCGUGCGUGAUGACGGCCUUCGGGUUGUAAACCGCUUUCUCCUGUGACGAAGCGUGAGUGACGGUAAUGGGUAAAGAAGCACCGGCUAACUACGUG